rnacentral:tRNA from 1 species
ACCUGGCUGGCUCAGUCAGAAGAGCUUGCGACUCUUGAUCUCACAGCAUGAGUUCAAGCCCCUUGUUAGGUG